rnacentral:rRNA from 1 species
CCUACGGGAGGCAGCAGUGAGGAAUAUUGGUCAAUGGACGAGAGUCUGAACCAGCCAAGUAGCGUGAAGGAUGACUGCCCUAUGGGUUGUAAACUUCUUUUAUAUGGGAAUAAAAUGUUCCACGUGUGGGAUUUUGUAUGUACCAUAUGAAUAAGGAUCGGCUAACUCCGUGCCAGCAGCCGCGGUAAUACGGAGGAUCCGAGCGUUAUCCGGAUUUAUUGGGUUUAAAGGGAGCGUAGGUGGAUUGUUAAGUCAGUUGUGAAAGUUUGCGGCUCAACCGUAAAAUUGCAGUUGAAACUGGCAGUCUUGAGUACAGUAGAGGUGGGCGGAAUUCGUGGUGUAGCGGUGAAAUGCUUAGAUAUCACGAAGAACUCCGAUUGCGAAGGCAGUUCACUGGACUGCAACUGACACUGAGGCUCGAAAGUGAGGGUAUCAAACAGGAUUAGAUACCCGUGUAGUC